rnacentral:tRNA from 1 species
GCGCGCGUAGCUCAGCGGAUAGAGCGGUUCCUUCGCAGGGUCCGAGUCGCUGGUUCGAAUCCAGCCGCGCGCA